UAUGGCCGGUGCGGGAGUCCGCGCCGCGAACCUGCCGCUGUUUCUGCAGGCGGGGGUGCAAGAGGUUCAUAGCUCGGCAGGCCAGUGGUUACCAUCGGAAAUGCGCUUUCGUCAUCCGGGCGUUUCGAUGUCAGCCGAUCCCGAUGCAGACGAAUACAGGCGCUACGCCGUCAAUGGCGAAGCGGUGGCGGAGAUGAAAAAGAUGAUUUCCGCCUGGAGACGUUAAACGAUUUUUGCUGCACAUCAUGUCGCCCAAUAUGAUGAUUGCCCGUACCAGGCCCCUGCCCAUUAAACAGGGGCCUUUUUU
rnacentral:ncRNA from 1 species